rnacentral:rRNA from 1 species
AUUGAACGCUGGCGGUAUGCCUUACACAUGCAAGUCGAACGGCAGCACGGGAGCAAUCCUGGUGGCGAGUGGCGAACGGGUGAGUAAUAUAUCGGAACGUGCCCAGUCGUGGGGGAUAACGUAGCGAAAGCUACGCUAAUACCGCAUACGAUCUAUGGAUGAAAGCGGGGGAUCGCAAGACCUCGCGCGAUUGGAGCGGCCGAUAUCAGAUUAGGUAGUUGGUGAGGUAAAGGCUCACCAAGCCGACGAUCUGUAGCUGGUCUGAGAGGACGACCAGCCACACUGGGACUGAGACACGGCCCAGACUCCUACGGGAGGCAGCAGUGGGGAAUUUUGGACAAUGGGCGCAAGCCUGAUCCAGCAAUGCCGCGUGCAGGAUGAAGGCCUCGGUGUAACUAGCUUCUGUUACGGACGAAACGGUACGAGACGUCUAAUACA